rnacentral:rRNA from 1 species
UACGAAGGGGGCUAGCGUUGCUCGGAAUCACUGGGCGUAAAGGGUGCGUAGGCGGGUCUUUAAGUCAGGGGUGAAAUCCUGGAGCUCAACUCCAGAACUGCCUUUGAUACUGAGGAUCUUGAGUUCGGGAGAGGUGAGUGGAACUGCGAGUGUAGAGGUGAAAUUCGUAGAUAUUCGCAAGAACACCAGUGGCGAAGGCGGCUCACUGGCCCGAUACUGACGCUGAGGCACGAAAGCUAGGGGAGCAAACGGG